rnacentral:rRNA from 1 species
UGGGGAAUUUUGGACAAUGGGCGCAAGCCUGAUCCAGCCAUGCCGCGUGCGGGAAGAAGGCCUUCGGGUUGUAAACCGCUUUUGUCAGGGAAGAAAUCUUCUGAGUUAAUACCUCGGGAGGAUGACGGUACCUGAAGAAUAAGCACCGGCUAACUACGUGCCAGCAGCCGCGGUAAUACGUAGGGUGCAAGCGUUAAUCGGAAUUACUGGGCGUAAAGCGUGCGCAGGCGGUUUUGUAAGACAGAGGUGAAAUCCCCGGGCUCAACCUGGGAACUGCCUUUGUGACUGCAAGGCUUGAGUGCGGCAGAGGGGGAUGGAAUUCCGCGUGUAGCAGUGAAAUGCGUAGAUAUGCGGAGGAACACCGAUGGCGAAGGCAAUCCCCUGGGCCUGCACUGACGCUCAUGCACGAAAGCGUGGGGAGCAAACAGGAUUAGAUACCCUGGUAGUCCACGCCCUAAACGAUGUCAACUGGUUGUUGGGAAGGUUCCUUCUCAGUAACGUAGCUAACGUGUGAAGUUGACCGCCUGGGGAGUACGGCCGCAAGGUU